GACGUAGGGCGCGAGCGUUGUCCGGAUUUAUUGGGCGUAAAGAGCUCGUAGGCGGCUUGUUGCGUCAGCUGUGAAAACCCGCAGCUCAACUGUGGGCUUGCAGCUGAUACGGGCAGGCUUGAGUUCGGUAGGGGAGACUGGAAUUCCUGGUGUAGCGGUGAAAUGCGCAGAUAUCAGGAGGAACACCGGUGGCGAAGGCGGAUCUCUGGGCCUUACCUGACGCUGAGGCGCGAAAGCUAGGGGAGCAAACAGG
rnacentral:rRNA from 1 species